AUACGGAGGAUGCGAGCGUUAUCCGGAUUUAUUGGGUUUAAAGGGUGCGUAGGCUGUGCGUUAAGUCAGGGGUGAAAUGCCGUCGCUCAACGACGGAGCUGCCCUUGAUACUGGCGUGCUGGAGUACGGAUGCCGUUGGAGGAAUGAGUGGUGUAGCGGUGAAAUGCUUAGAUAUCACUCAGAACACCGAUUGCGAAGGCAUCUGACGAAUCCGUCACUGACGCGGAGGCACGAAAGCGUGGGGAUAGAACAGGAUUAGAUACCCUGGUAUUCCACGCCGUAAACGAUGAUGACUAACCGUCGGCGAUAGACAGCCGGUGGCCAAGCGAAAGCGAUAAGUCAUCCACCUGGGGAGUACGUCGGCAACGAUGAAACUUAAAGGAAUUGACGGGG
rnacentral:rRNA from 1 species